GACGAACGCUGGCGGCGUGCCUAACACAUGCAAGUCGAGCGCGAAAGGGGCUUCGGCUCCAAGUAGAGCGGCGAACGGGUGAGUAACACGUGGGCAACCUGCCCCAGGGACUGGGAUAACCCUCGGAAACGAGGGCUAAUACCGGACGUACAUGUGUCACACAAGUGGCACAUGCAAAGGUAGCUUCGGCUUCUGCCCUGGGAUGGGCCCGCGGCCUAUCAGCUUGUUGGUGAGGUAAAGGCUCACCAAGGCUACGACGGGUAGCUGGUCUGAGAGGACGAUCAGCCACACUGGGACUGAGACACGGCCCAGACUCCUACGGGAGGCAGCAGUGGGGAAUCUUGCGCAAUGGGCGAAAGCCUGACGCAGCAACGCCGCGUGGAGGAAGAAGGCCUUCGGGUGUAAACGUCCUGUCCAGGGGGAAGGAAGGCGACCUGGGUUAAUAGUCCCAAGGGCCUGUACGGUACCCCUACGAGGAAGCCACGGCUAACUACGUGUCCAGCAGCCGCGGUAAUCAACG
rnacentral:rRNA from 1 species